UGUCCUUCGUCUCCUCUUCUCUCUGGUUACUUUUGUGUAGGUGUUCAUGCUCAGUCAGUUCUGUCGAUGACAGCGCGCCGGGGUGUGAAAGCACAUGGGACACAGCAUCAUCACGGCGCCAUGGAGCAGUGGCUCGAGCCGGCGGGGCUGGUGACACAUCGUCGUUGACUUCUUCUCCCCUGGCUACGGUGGGUGUUGCCACCCCCUCCUCCACUCCAAGGCGUUGGGACACGUCCCGUCGGGCGACGACGGUUUCCGAGGUCGGACGGGAAAGGAGACGAAUCGUCGCCCAACGUGUGAUCCCAAGUCCCCGCGAGCUCCUCGCCUCGCCUCCACUCGCACGUGUCGCAUCCGUGCCACACCUCCUCUCCCUCUCGAGUUGUCUCACCAGCUUCUCGCCUCGCCGUCGCCAUAUCCGGGUAUGGAGGUAGCCGGAGCAGUCGCCGCGCUGCCGCCGGUAACGGGUUCAGCCCGCGCAACCUCACGACCGCAGAGGCAUGGGCGUUGUACCACACUGGUUACCCCGCUCCUCCGAAUAUCCGGUGGACCUCCAAGUGGAAGUUGAGCGCGGGUGGGAUGGCCAUUCCGCCGGUGUACACCCAGGAGCAGCGCAAUUAGACGAAGAGGUGUAUCGCCAUGACAAGACGCUCACACCGGUUCAGCACGCCGUCCCUCUGUGGCACCCGCAGAACACCGUGCAGUGGGAUGUGAUCCUUCGUCAGCAGCUCGAAGAGGAACUUCUCUGCCACAACAACGUCUUUCCUCCGUACAGCAAGAACGUCGCGGGGUUCAUGCACAACGUUCUGGAGCGGGCCCGGACGCAAGCUCAACGCCGUCAUCACGCAUCUAGGGGACGACAUUCCUCUGCCCGGCGGUCAGCUGCUGCUUGCACCCGCGCGGGCCCCG